AAGAAACAAAAGCAGGUCUUAUAAUUUACGUGUUUGGAUUUAUGAUUUAGAAUAAUGCUAUUGUUGAGCAAUAGAAUGCAAACACUUGACAUUAAAUGAUAUGUCUAAUGAAAUGUUAAAGCUAUGGGGCCCAUUUAAUUGAAAUUAUCAUUUAAUUCCGCCUAAAUUCGUACUCAACGCCACUGAUGCUAGAUAACACUACU
rnacentral:lncRNA from 1 species